UUAAAAUAUAUUUUCAACUGAUAUUUAACUAAUAACCAGAAUAGUGACGUGCCAUACUCAAACUUAUUGAACUUAUUCGUUGAAAACUACUUACAAUUAAGUACAUAUUGUGUAAAAGUUUCUAACACUCGCAAUCCAAUCGUGUUCCGAUGUCGGAGAGGACACACCUUCGUAGUGUAAUAGUUCUAGUUACAAGUACCAGAACUAUUAAGAAAUGUGUAUGUUGUUCAAGUCGAAACCAAUUCAGGAAGAUGGAUUUGUAAAUAAUUUAAGACUUUUUAAAUUAUAAGUUUAAAUUUAUUACACAUGUAAAACAUAAAAUAGACAAACUGCCUGCUACAGAGUUGUAUCUUGCAUGAGUAUAGUAAUUCGUCAUAAUUAAAUAAUUCGAUAAAAUGGCAAUAACAUGUUUUUCCCAAAUAGCUUAUCUGAGCGGAACGGACUCUAAGUAGUUUUUAUAUAUAUAUUUGCAAUUUGAUUUAAUCACUACGCCAGAUAACCAUGCAGGUGUGCUCUGUACCGACCAUGAGUCAGCCUCUGUAUUUGUAUAAUAAGUAUGCCGAUUAUAACAGAUGCAUUGACUAUUCCACACCCAUCAGAGUGACAUCAUUAUAAUAUGAGUAAUAAUAAGCUUAGUGCAGUUGUGUGUUUGUGUAAAGGGCGUGUGAAGGUUAUAGCAUAUAACAGUAGCACAGACGACAGUGUAAACAAAAAUCCGGUUCUGGGCACUAUAUACUCCGGACACUUUAAGAAGGUACCUCGUCGAGUUGAAUGCGACCGGUUUCCACCCCACAACUUCAUCAUAACUCGACACCGCCUACGAGUUUUGGUCCGCCGCACAGGGAGUCGGAAAGAAAAAAGUAUCAUACAAUUUGGUCGAGAAUAUUUGAGAACUCGUUCACAUGGAUAAAAUUGUUCGGUCGUUAUUAAUCAAUAUGCAUAUAAUGAAAUUUCAGCAUUGAGACUUGGAGGGAUUUGUUUUCAUUGGUUGAAUCAUGCUUACGACAAUCAAUAGCAAGAGCAUCGUUCGAUCGUGCUAAGAGUGUUUUUGUCCUGUACUGAAAAAUUUAGAUGCUGAUCCUGAUGAAUGUUUUGUAAACUUGUACAAAAGUAUUGGUGAUGUCUUAUAAGACCAUUGCUAACGCAGCCAACGAGAGUGUCGAGCCCACGGUAUUUGAUUUCCACUGGCAGAGAAUGUGCUUGAAGUCUCUGUUAAUGACAUCUCCGAAACCGACCUCAAACCGUCGUACCGAUAUUGUGCAAACUGGGACGUUGGAUGUCAUAACCAAAGAUAUGGGACAUCAACAAUUUUCGAGCGAGGGUUUGAGGCUUUUUUGCGAGAAAUUUUAUGCA